rnacentral:rRNA from 1 species
GAUGCCUUGGGUCUGAAAGUCGAAGAAGGACGUGACUACCUGCGAUAAGCUUCGUUUAGCUGGAAAUAAGCAUUUAGACUGCGAUUUCCGAAUGGGGAAACCUAAUUGAGCUAAUCCUCAAUUAUCAUACCAGUGAAUCCAUAGCUGGAUGAAGAGACACGCUGUGAAUUGAAACAUCUCAGUAGCAGCAGGAAGAGAAAAUAAAGAAUGAUUCCCUUAGUAGUGGCGAGCGAACGGGGAAAAGCCCAAACCAACAUUCGUUGUUGGGGUUGUAGGACUACUAAUUAAGAAGUUAGACAAAUAUUUACAUAUAGCAGAAUGAGUUGGAAUGCUCAAACAUAGAGGGUGAAAUUCCCGUAAGCGAAAUGUGUAAAUCUUCUAGUGGUAUCCUGAGUAGGGCGGGGCACGUGAAACCCUGUCUGAAUCUGCCGGGACCACCCGGUAAGGCUAAAUACUAAUCAGACACCGAUAGUGAACUAGUACCGUGAGGGAAAGGUGAAAAGAACCCCGGGAGGGGAGUGAAAUAGAUUCUGAAACCAAUUACUUACAAUUAGUCAGAGCCCGUUAAUGGGUGAUGGCGUACAUCUUGCAGAAUGGACCGGCGAGUUAUGUCAACAUGCGAGGUUAAGUGGAUUAAAGCGAAGCCGUAGAGAAAUCGAGUCUUAAUAGGGCGCUUUAGUAUGUUGAUAUAGACCCGAAACCAGGUGAUCUACCCAUGAGCAGGCUGAAACUUAGGUAACACUAAGCGGAGGGCCGAACCGCAGUACGCUAAAAAGUGCCCGGAUGACUUGUGGGUAGGGGUGAAAUUCCAAUCGAACUUGGAGAUAGCUGGUUCUCCUCGAAAUAGCUUUAGGGCUAGCGUGUAGUGUUAAAUGAUGGGGGUAGAGCACUGAAUAUGGAAUGGCGGCGCCUAGCCGUACUGACUAUAAUCAAACUCCGAAUACUAUCAUGUAUUGCUAUGCAGUCGGUACAUCGGUGAUAACGUCGAUGCACGCGAGGGAAACAACCCAGAUCGUCAGCUAAGGUCCCAAAAUUGUGUUAAGUGAGAAAGGUUGUGGAGUUUCUUAAACAGCUAGGAUGUUGGCUUAGAAGCAGCCACCGUUUAAAGAGUGCGUAAUAGCUCACUAGUCGAGAGGCUCUGUGCCGAUAAUUCAACGGGACUAAAACACAAUACCGAAGCUACGGGUAGAAAUACGUUAGAGGAGCGUUCUAAGGGCCUUGAAGCUAGACCGUAAGGACUAGUGGAGCGCUUAGAAGUGAGAAUGCCGGUAUGAGUAACGAUUCAAAGUGAGAAUCUUUGACGCCUAUUGGGGAAGGUUUCCUGGGCAAGGUUCGUCCACCCAGGGUUAGUCGGGUCCUAAGACGAGGCCGAAGGGCGUAGCCGAUGGACAACAGGUUAAUAUUCCUGUACUUUCUUGAGAGUGAUGUAGUGACGGGGAAGGAUAGUUUUACCACUCAUUGGAUUGUGGGGUAAGUGAUAACUGGGUGUUGUUGGCAAAUCCGCAACACAUUAACCGGGAGUUACAAUGCAUAGUGAAAGGGCAACCAAGUAGCGAAUUAAAUGAUUUCAUGCCUCUUAAAAAAGCUGCUAACUAUAAUCUCUGUGAAACCCGUACCGAGAACGAACACACGUCCCCAAGAUGAGUAUUCUAAGGCGAGCGAGAAAACCAAUGUCAAGGAACUCUGCAAAUUCAUCCCGUAAGUUCGCAAGAAGGGAUGCCCAUAGUAACAUAUGGGCCGCAGUGAAUAGUAAGGGGGAACUGUUUAUCAAAAACACAGCUCUAUGCUAAGUCGCAAGACGAUGUAUAUGGGGUGACUCCUGCCCAGUGCCCGAAGGUUAAGCAGAGGUGUUAGCAUUUGUGAAGCAUUAAUGUGAAGCCCGGGUGAACGGCGGCCGUAACUAUAACGGUCCUAAGGUAGCGAAAUUCCUUGUCGGCUAAAUACUGACCUGCACGAAAGGAGUAAUUAUCUCUUAACUGUCUCGACAUUGGACUCGGUGAAAUUAUGGUUGCGGCGAAGACGCCGCAUACCCGCAUCUAGACGAAAAGACCCCGUGGAGCUUUACUAUAACUUCAUAUUGGAGUUUGAUUUAACUUGUGUAGGAUAGGUGGGAGACUAUGAGACAAAGACGCUAGUUUUUGUGGAGUCAUCGUUGAAAUACCACCCUUGUUACGUUGAACUUCUAACUUAUUGCCAUUAUCUGGCAAGAGGACAGUGUGUGGUGG